ensembl:misc_RNA Metazoa_SRP Metazoan signal recognition particle RNA
GCCAGGCUCAGUGGUGUGAACCUGUAGUCCCAGCUACUUUGGAGGCUGAGGUGGGAGGAUUGCUUGAGCCUGGGAGUUUGAGGCUGCAGUGAGCUAUGAUCAUGCCACUGCCCUCAAGCCUGGGCAACAGAGUAAGACCCAGUCUCUU